rnacentral:rRNA from 1 species
UUCAACGGCCGCGGUAUUCUGACCGUGCGAAGGUAGCGCAAUCACUUGUCUUUUAAAUGAAGACCUGUAUGAAUGGCAUAACGAGGGCUAAACUGUCUCCUUUUUCCAGUCAAUGAAAUUGAUCCGCCCGUGCAGAAGCGGGCAUAAACCCAUAAGACGAGAAGACCCUAUGGAGCUUAAGACCCAGAGUAGACUAUGUUAAACACCCCAGCCCUAAAGGACUAAACCAAAUAGCACCACUCCCUGUCUUUGGUUGGGGCGACCGCGGAGCAACAAAAAACCCCCAUGUAGAACAAGGACCCCCCCC